UCAUAUUCCCGUUGGGGGAGGAUGAGAAGCUUCGAUCAAGGUUCGAUUCGAGCGUAGCGAGAAAGCGUUGCCGUAGGCAACGACCCGAAGGGCGAGACGCGUUAGCGUCGAGUCAUCCUUCCCCCGCCACCA
rnacentral:sRNA from 1 species